rnacentral:rRNA from 1 species
UACAGAGGGUGCGAGCGUUGUUCGGAAUUAUUGGGCGUAAGGGCGCGUAGGCGGUGCGGUAAGUCACCUGUGAAAUCUCCUGGCUCAACUGGGAGCUUGCAGGCGAAACUGCCGUGCUGGAGUGUGGGAGAGGUGAGUGGAAUUCCGGUGUAGCGGUGAAAUGCGCAGAUAUCAGGAGGAACACCGGUGGCGAAGGCGGUGGGCUGGGCCGGAACUGACGCUGAGGAGCGAAAGCGUGGGGAGCGAACAGGAAUUAGAU